UUCUGUUGCAGCUGUGGUAGUGCCCAGCUACUGAUAUGUGGUGCUCAUUCUUUGAGUUCAUUCUUUGCUGAAUCUCGUUUGGCAGAGAAUACCUCUAGAUUUUUUGCAAGGUGACAAAUUUAGAGCAUCAGCAGAUAAUUACAUUAGGCCUCUCCUAACUAAGGAGUUCCAUCUCUUUUCUCUGAUCUUUCGUCUUUGUAUAAUCACCUUGGGAAGAGGUAAUUUGUCAAGGAAGAAUUCAAGAAAUUAUUGUAGCAUUUAUACUGAGCAUCGCGUCUGCUAAAAUAAAUAAAUAUGUCAGAGGGAUUUGAGAUUCAUCAAGAGAAUAAUGAAGGAAGUGGCGGCAAGAGUAGUAAUGAUAAUGAGGGUGAGGAAAAUUCAUUUGACUUGAAUGAAUGAGUGGCUAUGAGUGAUGAUGAGGAAUUGGAAGAAAAGAAUAAUAAUGAAGCAAAGGAGGAGGAGGAGGAGGAUAACAAUGAAGAAGAAGGGAAUUCAACAAACCCAAGUAGCAACAGCACAACAUCAAGAGAAAGGAAGAGAGGGAGUGGUGUGAGACAAUAUGUGAGAUCAAAGAUGCCAAGGCUUUGUUGGACUCCUAAUCUUCAUCUCUCCUUUGUCCAUGCUGUUCAGAGGCUUGGAGGUCAAGAAAGUAAGUCAAGGAACCAAUUAGCUUUUGCCCUAAUUAAUUAACAUAUACUAUAAAUGUAUGUUAUAGUUGCUAGCUAUAUUGAAUUGCUGCAGGAGCAACACCUAAAUUGGUGCUUCAGCUAAGGAAUGUCAGAGGCCUAAGCAUUGUUCAUGCCAAGAGUCACUUGCAGGUAGCUAUUAGAUUCUACUCCUUAAUUAUCUUAUGUAUUCCAUUUUUUAACUUGUUCUUCUUCAGAGAGAAUAAUAAUUCACAAAUAAACACACAAAAAUUGAACCUGCACGUUCUCCAAUUAAACUAGAUAUAAUACUCUUUUUUACUGACUUCUAUUUGAUGGUUUUAACCUCUCCUUCUAAGAUUUUGAGAUAUGAAAAGCAUAAAAAAAUCUCUUAGAAAAUUACCUGAUUCUUAGUAAUUUGUCUUUGAGGAUUGCAAAAAUUCAUACACUAAUCUUGAUUAGUUAGGGAAAAAAAGCAUUUAGGAAGAUGAUCGAGCCAUUUUGCUUGAAGCAGGGCUUACAUGAUCAUCAUCAGCAAAAUUCUAUGGAUCAUCAGCAAGGCUUAUAUAUUCAUGAGAUUGUCUUCAGUUUCUCACACUUAUUCUUCAAUAUCCUUAUCUUCUUACUUGUCCUCCCUAGAUUUUUGACCAUGAAUGAUUUAUUCUUGCUAGAAAAUCGAGCAACUUUAAGGGCACUGUAGGUCAUCAUUCUUUAAAUAUAUAUUAUACUUAGCUUUAUUACUUCUUCGAGUUUGUAAAUAUUGCUAUAUCUUUGCAGCAAUAUUGUAUUAUGUCCAUGCCAUGUAUUAGUACCAAGUGGCUUAUUGAUUUUUCUUUGAAAUUUGUAUUAUUGUCUUACGGAUACUCUUCGAGUCUUGGUUAUAGUUUGUAUGUUCUUAUGCAAUCCUGUUUUGCAGGAGUUAAUUGAUUUUCUGAAAGAAACUGGGCUGUAGUCAAGUGCAGCUGCCACUAGAAAUGCUUCAACUAAGCUUUUGGGUGUUCUGCAUAAAUUUGUUGGUCCAGAUAUUAAAAGGUUCCCUACUGAUGUUAAGCCUGCAUUGCUCAGGGCUCUUGAUACUGAGUAUGAAAAGAAUCCAUGAGGGAGCAUCUACAGCUCCCAAGAGAUCAGUCAAAACAUCAGACUCAUCUUCCUUAGUUGCUGCUGGUGGUUUGGAUAGCUUGCCUCGUGAAGACAUUAGUGGAAAGAUUACUCCUACUCUCUUGAAGAGCUUGGAAAGUCCUGAGUGGAAAGUUUGAUUGACAAUAUCUUUCAAAUAAUUUGAUAUUGCUGGCUUGUUUUAACUAUUUAUUAUAACUGAAAGGAAUGAUGUUUCAUGACAUUCUUCUAUGAUUUCCUUUUAGGUUCGUAUGGAGUCAGUUGAAUCUGUAAAUAAAAUACUGGAAGAGGCAAAUAAGCGCAUUCAAGCAAAUGGAACUAGUACUUUAGUAGCAUUUGUAUUAUAAUUUUGAAACUGUUGCUAUGUGUGGGACUGAAUUCUGGGUGGUAAAAUCCCACAUGGACAUGAACUUUAUAUUGCAAAGAUUAGGAUAAUUACAUGGAUGGGUGGUUACAGAAGAUUAUAUAGGAUUAUGAAAGAUUGCAUUAGAUAAAUUUGGGGCAGUGUUGAUUAUUGAAAGAUGGUAGAAUCUUGUAUUUUUAUUGAAUAGGUUCUUUCUUAAUUAGUUGUUUGAUUUUUACUGUAUUUCAGAGAUACCAACAUACAAAGCUGCUUUAACUUUGCUUAUGGUAUUUGGUGUUGGACCAACAGUUUUUGGCAAUGUGUCUAAUGUCCAUAAACUUGUGAGGGAAAAUAUGGAAGCGUGUUACGUGCCUUCACUGCCUUGGCUAUGGUCGAGUUCAAGCAACCUUGGCUAUGGUCGAGUUCAAGCAAGAGUAAAGGCUCGCAGAAUCCAGUUAAGUCAUGAGAUGAAGCAACAUGAAGCUACAAUGAAGAGGGAGAGAUUGAUAUUUUUUUUCCCAAUGGAACUAGUACUUUAUAACUACUUGGGUUAUAAG